UACGUAGGUGGCGAGCGUUAUCCGGAAUGAUUGGGCGUAAAGGGUGCGCAGGCGGCGCAUUAAGUUUGAAGUAAAAGGUAGCGGCUCAACCGCUGCAAGCUUCGAAAACUGGUGUGCUGGAGUGCAGGAGAGGGCAGUGGAAUUCCAUGUGUAGCGGUAAAAUGCGUAGAUAUAUGGAGGAACACCGGUGGCGAAGGCGGCUGCCUGGCCUGUAACUGACGCUGAGGCACGAAAGCGUGGGGAGCAAAUAGG
rnacentral:rRNA from 1 species